rnacentral:rRNA from 2 species
GGAAAGAUGAAAAGAACUUUGAAAAGAGAGUUAAACAGUACGUGAGAUUGUUGAAAGGGAAACGAUUGAGGUCAGUCAUACCAACGGGAAAUCAACCUUUUGAGCUUUGUCUCGUGGGUUCGAAGAGUUUUAAAACGCCUUCGGGUUCGCGAGAUUGGGAUCUUCUGGUGUACUUUCUCGUACGGUUAGUCAACAUCGGUUUUGAAUGUCAUAAAAUGACUGGAGGAAUGUAGCUUCGAACUCGUAUCGAAGUGUUAUAGCCUUUGGUAGAUGUGAUGUUUGAGACCGAGGAUUGCAACGGAUACCCUUCAUGGGCUAUUCGUCUGAUCUCUGAUACGUUGCCUUGACGUUGAAAGCUUGCUUACGAUGUUAGGGUAUUACGGUCAAAAGGUUAGAACGGAUUAAAUUCGUUAAGGAUGUUGACGUAAUGACUUUAAACGACCCGUCUUGAAACACGGACCA